GACAGAGGGGGCAAGCGUUGUUCGGAAUUACUGGGCGUAAAGGGCGCGUAGGCGGCCUGCUAAGUCGAACGUGAAAUCCCCGGGCUCAACCCGGGAACUGCGUCCGAUACUGGCAGGCUUGAAUCCGGGAGAGGGAUGUGGAAUUCCAGGUGUAGCGGUGAAAUGCGUAGAUAUCUGGAGGAACACCGGUGGCGAAGGCGGCAUCCUGGACCGGUAUUGACGCUGAUGCGCGAAAGCCAGGGGAGCAAACGGG
rnacentral:rRNA from 1 species